GUCAACCUACGGGACGCAGCAGUGAGGAAUAUUGGUCAAUGGGAGAGAUCCUGAACCAGCCAAGCCGCGUGAGGGAAGACGGUCCUAUGGAUUGUAAACCUCUUUUGUCGGGGAGCAAAAGACGCCACGUGUGGCGUUCCGAGAGUACCCGAGGAAAAAGCAUCGGCUAACUCCGUGCCAGCAGCCGCGGUAAUACGGAGGAUGCGAGCGUUAUCCGGAUUUAUUGGGUUUAAAGGGUGCGCAGGCGGAAGAUCAAGUCAGCGGUAAAAUUGAGAGGCUCAACCUCUUCGAGCCGUUGAAACUGG
rnacentral:rRNA from 1 species